CUCCUUCAGUUCAACUCUGAUCUCAGUUAUUUCUUGUCUUCUGCUGGGUUUUGAGUUUUUUUGAUCUUGCUCCUCUAGCUCUUUCAAUUUUGACGAUAGGGUGUCAAUUUUGGAUCUCUCCAUUCUCCUCAUAUGGGCACUUAUUGCUAUAUAUUUUCCUCUAGAGACUGCUUUAAAUGUGUCCCAGAGAUUCUGGCAUGCUGUGUCUCCAUUCUCGUUGGUUUCCUGGUUAAGUCUUUAUGUGAACAAUCACAAUUUUAAUAAAGUGGUAAACUCCAUGGUCGCUGUGUCUGCACAUUCUGCGUUUGACACGCUCACUUUUCACGUUAGAAUUUUAGAACAGCCCUCCUUUUCUGUUUUACAGGUGAUAUAAUAUAACUCAUUAAUGGAAACCUUGGCUUAAAUGCAACUGAUGCAAAGUCGGAUGAUGGGAGCAAGUCUACAUGUGAAGGCCAGUCACUGUGUUGUAAAGCACAUCUGUGCACCAAGGGCACUCGUGGAGCUUCCAACAAUUGCAGCCGUGGAAGAAGUAACGGAGACGCUUGCAGAUAAAGGAGUGUUUUCCCCUCUGUUUCUAGGUUUCAGGAGCCUUUAGAGGUAGCUGUCUGGAGAGCUUUAGUGCUGAGGCUGUCUCCAGUGAGGUCUUCAGGAAAGAAAAGGAUCAGGGAAAAAUGCUCCCCCUGUCCCCUCACCCCUCCUCCAUGACACCGUGUGCAGAUUAGGUGUUGAUUCAAUAAGAUGCCUCACCUAAAAGUGAUAGUGUGAGUCACGUGUGGAAGCAGAGGGGACAUAAUGGAACAAUCACUGCAUGGCAUCCCUGCCUCAUUUAAUUUGCUUUGAGGCUGCUAGCCAUGUCAGGCUAACUGCAGUGGAGGCCAUUUGACAGCCUGACCCUGUUGGUGGAGAA
rnacentral:lncRNA from 13 species